GGCCGACGUAUUCAAUGGUAAAUGUACUGUACAUUCUGUUUUUUUUUCUCCUCUGAUUCCUACAUACAGGUGCAAAGCCAAGAACAGAACAAAGAUACACGGCUAGAGGACAGAAAACAAAGAUGCCUACUCUAAAGGAUUGCUAUGCAUGCAGGGAAAAAAUCGGAGUUGCCAGCAAAACAUGUCAGCACUGUAGGGCCAAACACCCAUAUAAGGAAUUGCUUGAAAAAAAAAGAAACAGCUUUCCCAGGAAUGGAAAGCGAGACAAAAAAAAAACAGCAGUGUAAACAAAGUUUACGAUGCAACAAAUCUACUACUCCACAAGUGGGAACUUUUAGAGAGGUUCCCAGUGCUACUUCUUGCUAGGAGAACCUCAAAUGGAUUUUCAGCUGAAUGCUUCUGUCCAUGGA